GACUUUAUAAAGUUGGAUAAGUAUCAUUUUAACCCAAAAAAUAGAGGCAACAACAGAGCAAAAGUUUUUGUGGGGUAAUGGACACACUGUCCAAAGUCCAAACCUCAUAACUGUCCAUGAUCUGCACAUCUAUACAACAAGAGACAGUCCUAGGUUAUCAAAGAUAGGGUUAUCUGGAAGUGACUUUUAGGUCAUUUAUGUGCUGACUGCACAGAUCUAUGAAUAUAUUCCUUUUCAACAGAAACGCUGGGAUGGACAUGGUCAUGGUGCCUUUUCAGUUUCUAAAUAUAGAUGAAGAUGUGACUUUAUAAAACCUAGAGAGAAUGUGAUAAUGACAAGCACAAAAGGAAAUAAUUAAUGGUAUUUCAAUUUUAGGGUUUGAUGUUGCCACUAUCUUUUAUGAGUUUUUGCCUUUCAUGAGAUCCAUUGAUCAUAUGACUAACUGUUUGAUACAUAUUUGGAAGAGUUGCAUUUUCUUAAAUUUAUUGAAGCAUCAUAAGUGCAGAAGCAAAAGUAUUUUUUUAAGUCAAUUUUUUAAAAUAAAAACAUAAUGAUGCAUAUAUAUAUAUAUAUAUAUAUAUUAUAAGUGGUCAUUGCAAGUGGGUUUGCAUAUCUCAGAAAUUUAGCAGAUCAUUGAAAACUGAAGCUGGCUUGGGAACUUGGAUAUGCAAAAUCACGGACAUAGAAUAGACAUCAGUUCCUCGGUUCCAUGAUGAAGGUUUUGGUUUUGUGGACCAACUAUUAUUCACCUCCAUAAGUACUUUAUCUCUAGAGGAAGUGAUAUUUCGGUCCAUCUAUUUUUCACCUCUCUUGAGGCUUGAAUAAUGCUUAAAGGUAUUAUUAUUAUUAUUGUUAAACGAUAAAAGUAGAGAGGGUUUCUGAAGUUUUUUUCAAAAAAUAGAAAAUAUAUUGCAAUAUCUUCUUCAAUAUUGAUGAUAGUGAUGGUUCAGUAUAUUCAAGAUCUUAUCAUGGAAAUCUGUGUGCUCCAUCACUUUCUAACACUCUUCUGUGCCUGAAAUUCACCACCUUCCAUAUAUAUCAGGUUACCCUACUUCUCUGUAGCUACAUGAAUUAACCGUCGGUGCUUAUCUUUAUUUUGAUCAAGGACCACUCACUGGUCUUAAUGUUCUCUACAUUGGCAACUCGAUCGCUAGCUUCUGGUUCAUAUAGAUAUUUUGUAAGUACUCAUUAUGCAUACCUUCCUUUUACACAUUCAUUUCAUUGCAACCAUAUAAACUGCAUUAGUUGAUUUAUGACUUUGUAGAUGUAAGAUAUUAAGGCCAAAACAUUAAAAGAUAUGGAAUGGAGAGAUUGUAUAUGAUUAUCUAUGCUUACUGUCAAAUGAAGACAUACACAUCACUUUCAAUUUAUCUCUGUUGAAUAAAAGAUUAACAGCAUGGAUUCUGAGCAAAUACACAAUUUGAUAACAGUUUAUGAAUGUACCAUAUUAUAUUGAAUAAUAUUUUUUUGGGUACAAUAUCAAACAUUAGUUUUCAUUGCUGCCAUCAAGGAGAUGUUACAAGCCAAUUGCAGUGUCUCACUGAAGCAUCACUGAGGGAUAAAGAUCUCAUGUCCAAAUGAAAUAUUUUUAUAUUUUUGCUUGAAUAUCGUUGGUUCUAUACAUUCCUGUUUUGACUUGUUGUUAAAGC
rnacentral:sRNA from 1 species